UUUCAAGACUAACAAAGCUUCAUCCCUUUUUCGUUCACCUUUAUAGAUCUAAUGUUCACUUUAUAUUAACAAGCUAUGAAGGUUGUGAAGAACUUCAAGAACAAUAUCAACAAUCACCAAGAACAACCAACAACAAUCUCCAAAAAUACCACAAUUUUCACACGGUCAACUUCUAAUUUUCACAAUACAAUAUCUUCAACACUUGG
rnacentral:lncRNA from 1 species